UACGAAGGGGGCUAGCGUUGCUCGGAAUCACUGGGCGUAAAGGGUGCGUAGGCGGGGCUUUAAGUCAGGGGUGAAAUCCUGGAGCUCAACUCCAGAACUGCCUUUGAUACUGAGGGUCUUGAGUCCGGGAGAGGUGAGUGGAACUGCGAGUGUAGAGGUGAAAUUCGUAGAUAUUCGCAAGAACACCAGUGGCGAAGGCGGCUCACUGGCCCGGUACUGACGCUGAGGCACGAAAGCGUGGGGAGCAAACAGG
rnacentral:rRNA from 1 species